GCCCCGUUCGUCUAACGGUCGAGGAUAGCGGGCUUUCAUUCCGCAGAUAGGGGUUUGAUUCCCCUACGGAAUA
rnacentral:tRNA from 1 species